GACCGAGACCAAGAUGUCCUCCUCCUAGACCAGUCUGAGGGAUUGCUUCACCGCAACAGAAGAAAGAAGGCGGAGGGAGGCGGCCAGAGAGCUUGCGUCGGCGGUGGGCUUGGAGAGGGUGUCGACGCGCUGCGAGUUCAAGCUCACAGACGGUGGAGCUCAACGCCCUCGAAAACCGGAGCUGCCUGGGACAUCGCGUGCAAGAUUCCUCUGACCUGGGUCCCGCCGGCUCCACCUUUUGGCGGCUCGGAUCCACGGGCGGCCGGCGGCCAUGGGGAUUUCGGGACGCGGGAGUGCGGCCAGCGAGGGAGUGGCCGACGUCCUACGCAAGAGGAGGCUGGCUGCCGGUAGUCUGUCGAGGACGAGGACGAACGACGGUGGCAACAUAUAUCUGCCCGGACCCUGCCCACCGCCUUUUGGUGGCCGAGGGGCGAAGGAUCAUGACCAGCUUGCUCGGGCAGAACCCUUCAACCUCUGAUUAGAACAGCUUCAGCCGGAGAGUUAAAAUGAUACCCUGAAGGCAAUAUACUCACAGCUGAAUUUAUUCCAUUAAAACCAGAGUGCAUUGUAAAGUGAUUGGAGUGAGAUUUGUAUACAUGUGUGAUUUGUAUUGUGUUCAUUGUUGAUUGGAGAGAUGUAAAGAGAUGGAAAUUGCACAUGGUUGCAAUUUAUAAUAGUACAAGCAUAGUCUUACCUGUUAUGUCUACAUAUUGAACCAAUUUCUAUUGUAAAGUUAGUUUCUGAAAA